AGUACGGUCGCAAGAUUAAAACUCAAAGGAAUUGACGGGGACCCGCACAAGUAGCGGAGCAUGUGGUUUAAUUCGAAGCAACGCGAAGAACCUUACCUACACUUGACAUCCCUUGCAUUACUCUUAAUCGAGGAAAUCCCUUCGGGGACAAGGUGACAGGUGGUGCAUGGUUGUCGUCAGCUCGUGUCGUGAGAUGUUGGGUUAAGUCCCGCAACGAGCGCAACCCUUGUCGUUAGUUACUACCAUUAAGUUGAGGACUCUAGCGAGACUGCCUGGGUUAACCAGGAGGAAGGUGGGGAUGACGUCAAAUCAUCAUGCCCCUUAUGUGUAGGGCUACACACGUGCUACAAUGGCUGGUACAGAGAGAUGCAAUACCGUGAGGUGGAGCCAAACUUUAAAACCAGUCUCAGUUCGGAUUGUAGGCUGAAACUCGCCUACAUGAAGCUGGAGUUACUAGUAAUCGCGAAUCAGAAUGUCGCGGUGAAUACGUUCCCGGGUCUUGUACACACCGCCCGUCACACCAUGAGAGUUGGCAAUACCCGAAGUCCGUGAGCUAACCGCAAGGAGGCAGCGGCCGAAGGUAGGGUCAGCGAUUGGGGUGAAGUCGUAACAAGGUAGCCGUAGGAGAACCUGCGGCUGGAUCACCUCCUUU
rnacentral:rRNA from 1 species